AAACUUUUAUAUAUACAUUCAUAUACUUUAUUAUCAUAAAUUUGUCAAAUACAACAAGCUUAGAGAAACCCAGCUGUCAAGAUUAUGAAAUUGGAAGGCUUUAAACUUCAAAUCCCUAUGAACGAUUGAAUUCUAGUGACACGCUAUCCAGGCUAGAUGGCACAUAAUUCAUACAAUCCACCACCUAAACUCCCAAAAUUCAGCCCCUUUCCCACAUUUCUUCGAAAUCAUUAUCUCAAUCCUGAAAUUGGUGGGCUUUACUUGAGUUAGAGCACAACAUCCUCAUCCUCGCUCCAGAAAUACUCAGGACCAUUGGUGGCAGUGAAGUUGGAGGUAGUACAUGACAGCGAAGUUGUGGCAACCACGGUUAAGGGAAAGAGAGGCAGAGAUGAACCUACGCAGUGCAAUCGCCAUUGCUUAUUUUCUCUUAAAGACUCGGAGGGGCCUUCCAAUCGUCAAAAGAACCAUCUCCGCCACCACCACUGUAGCAAGAAAGAGACCUCAGGACCAUUGGUGGCAGUGAAGUUGGAGGUAGUACAUGACAGCGAAGUUGUGGCAACCACGGUUAAGGGAAAGAGAGGCAGAGAUGAACCUACGCAGUGCAAUCGCCAUUGCUUAUUUUCUCUUAAAGACUCGGAGGGGCCUUCCAAUCGUCAAAAGCACCAUCUCCGCCACCACCACUGUAGCAAGAAAGAGAUAGAGAAAACGUAUAAGAAAGCAUGUAAAGAACUGGAAGAAUGAGGAAUUGAUCAAAUUUAGGUCAAAGAAAGAAAAUUGGAGAUGAUGUUAAGAAAAAUGGAGAUGAGGGUGUAGUGGUUGAGGUUCUGGUGUUGACUGGAGAGGGAUCUGCAGAUGUUAAUUAUGACGUGGAAGAAGGAAAUGAACAUAUUAAAUACGGUAGGGGAAUGUUUUAAUCUUUGUAGGUAUAAAUCUAAUUUGUUAUUUUUUAAAAGUAAUGGGCCUAAUUUCCUCUUUUUCAAACUCUAGCAACUGGAGAUGAGGGUGUAGUGGUUGAGGUUCUGGUGUUGACUGGAGAGGGAUCUGCAGAUGUUAAUUAUGACGUGGAAGAAGG
rnacentral:lncRNA from 1 species